AAAAUUUCAUUAAAUUAUCAUAUUUUUUAUAAUAAAAUAAUAAUUAAUUUUAUUUUAAACUAAAUAAUCAUAAAAUACACUUAAAAUUUAAUAAGAUAAUAUAUAGUGCAUAAAAGUAAAAUUACUCUUUUUUGGCUUUGGCUUGUAAUUUCCACAGCUCAUUGACCAGCUCAUCCAAGUCUUUCGAAGACCUCCCACCAUCUCUCACAGCUCCCACCGCUUUGGCUUUCAAACCCUUGGCCCUCAUUUUCUCUCCUUCAUAUCCAACCCCAUUCAUCGACUCACCAAUCACUUUUCCCAACUCGUCCGAGUCUGGAACCGAGUCUGCCCCCACACAUACCCUCACCGCAACCCCCAAGUCCUCCACCAACAAUUUCCCAUUCACAAACUGGUCCGCUUCCAUAGGCCAAGCCAAUAUCAGCACCCCAUUCACUAUUCCCUCUAGAACAGAGUUCCAACCACAGUGACUCAGAAAUCCACCCACCGCUCGGUGACUCAAUAACAUCACCUGUGGCGACCACCCCCUUAUGAUCAAGCCCCUCCCAGCGAUCCGUUCCUCGAACCCAUGGGGUACUACCCCAUACCCGUCUUCCACCUGUUGGGUUGUGCCCAUUUUGACAACCCAAAUGAAUCGAGCCAUGGUCUUUUCGAGACCCGACGCCAGUGCCUCCAUUUGUGCCUUGCUCAUCAAUUUUUGACUCCCAAAGCAGACGUAGACUACGGAUCCAUCCGGGCACCCAUCGAGCCAAUCGAACACGUGGGCAAAAGAACCGGAAUCGGGGUUUCCCCGACUGGAAUGAUCCGGACCCAACAAGCUUAGAGGGCCAACCCCAAAAACUCUCUCGUGCCCCAUUUUCUUCUUCAAGAAACCCAAAUAUUCACCCUCCAGAGCCUCACAGCUAUUGAAGAUGCACCCAAAACUCAAGGUAUUUGCAAGCAUUCCUUCCCUAACGACCUGCCAAUCAGGGUCGUAUUCCUCGUACAAUCGGAAUAUAGAUGGCAGGUGCUCCUCCUUAAACGACGGUGAUCUGGGCAAGUCAAUGAAGCCCACGACGUCUAAAGUCUUUACGGUCUCAAGGUUAUUCCAACAAUGGUCAGCAACCGCUGCCAGAAACGCACCGGAUGAAAAGAAGGCGAAUCUGGGGAUAUUGAUCUCGUUAGCCAGGCGUAGUGUCCACCCGAGGAAGAAAUCAGAAAUGAGAGAAACAGGAGGGUUAGGGUGGGAACGAAACCACUUGAUAAUAGUGUCAUAAAGCUUGCUUAAGGCUGCGAUUAUGGGUAAGUUUCCUGCGUUACCGAGCUCUUUGACAUUCUCCACGCCGCCGGGGAGCGAAGGAUGAGACGGUAAAGGGAGGAUUAGUGUUUGAAUUCGAGGGUGGAAGGAGAGGAGCGCAGAGAGUGUAGGGAGGUUUUUGGGAGUGGUUAUGAUGGUUAUGGUAAAGUUGCGGAGAGAGAGUUGGUGGGUAAGGUCUAAAAGAGGGAGGCUGUGGCCUUGAGCUGGGUAGGGAAAGACUAGAAGGUGUGGAGGUUUCUGGGCUACCGCGGCAGUGGACAUGAUCGAUGAUGGACAGAGAAUGUGCACAACCAGUCUAUGGCAAUUGACUGGUAAGUGAAGGCCCAACGCAACUCACGAGGGGAAGCUUUUUGGAAUAUUAA
rnacentral:misc_RNA from 1 species